CAGCCGCCGCGGUAAUACAGAGGGUGCGAGCGUUAAUCGGAUUUACUGGGCGUAAAGCGUGUGUAGGUUGUUGUUCAAGUCAGUUGUGAAAUCCCUGGGCUUAACCUGGGAACUGCUUCUGAGACUGAACGACUAGAGUACGGUAGAGGGUGGUGGAAUUUCCGGUGUAGCGGUGAAAUGCGUAGAUAUCGGAAGGAACAUCAAUGGCGAAGGCAGCCACCUGGGCCUGUACUGACACUGAGACACGAAAGCGUGGGGAUCAAACAGGAUUAGAUACCCCAGUAGUCCCUGUCUCUUAUAC
rnacentral:rRNA from 1 species